AGCCAACAGAGCAUCCUGAUCAAACGACCACUAUCAUCAUCGCAUUAAGUGUCGGAGCUGCGUUGGUAAUGAUUGCCAUCAUUGCAGGGGGGAUUUAUCUAAAAAGAAGACAGAAAGCAAGCGAUGCAAGGAUGGAGUUAAGGGGACUUCGAAAUUCCCUGGUUGCUGAUACCAGGCAUGUAGGGUCAAAUGGAGUGUCCAACCCAGCCCUAGAAACCUCAAACGAAAGUCACU